UCCCUAUAAAAGCACUCUCAUUUCCACUGCUUCCCUAUCCACUUGGCUCCUCAUUCAUUCACUGCUCUUCACGAGACAGGUCUCUCUGAAUCGAAGAACCAUGUCUUACCCAAACCAGCAGCAGUGCAAGCAGGUCGUGUGUCCUCCUCCAGUGUGUCCUCCCACGAAGUGUCCUCCACCAGUGUGUCCUCCCCAGAAGUGUCCUCCACCGGACUGUCCUCCCCAGAAGUGUCCUCCUCCAGUAUGUCCUCCCCAGAAGUGUCCUCCACCGGUGUGUCCUCCACAGAAAUGCCCACCACCUGAGUGUCCUCAGCAGAAGUGCCCUCCACAGAAGUGAAGACUGACACCCCAACCCGCUGCAGCAACAUCUACCACCAUGAAACCAAGAGCAAGGGAGCAAGUCCCUGCGUGCAGCUUCUUUCACAUCCCUUCAUCUUCUCCACUGGUUUCCCAGGCUGUUCUUGUGACCAUUUCAAAGCUCUGCUCUUGUACCCACCUGCCAUCCUGUUGUAAGUGGUGCCUUGAAUCUGUGUAGGUGGCAACAGGCUUUGUAAUUUGGACUCCUGGCAUCCUCCUUUCCAGGAGGAGCUGGGUGCGGGGAUGUGGGAUCAGCUUUUGAAUUAUUCUCAGGUGUUUUCCUCCUAUCUUGCAUUGUGACCAAGUUGCAAUAAAAAUGUCCCUUCAUGGCAA